AAUCACAGUACAUUUCAUUUGUCAUAUUUCUUUUCAGUAACAAAGAUGAAGAAUUAUUGCCUAACGUGUAUAUCCUUCUGUCAUAUUUUACGUUUCAUAGAGUCUGCCAGUUAUACUUUACCAAAGGAGAAUAUUUGUGAAUGUUCCACUAUCACCGUAUUGCUGAUAAGUUUUGUGGUACUAAUUGGUGGAGUGGCAGCAUAUGUUCGACAUCUUAAGAGAAGUCAUAAAAAGAGGUAUGCAAGAUAUUUAAUAAUCUUAACAGAAAUUGCAUCAUUUACAAUACAGAUAAACUAACUU